AUGGCGGAAACAGAAGGAGCAAAGGCACCGGCGGGAGGCGCAUCUGGUAGUGGAGCUGGGGCGGGCGCCCGUGGCCCGGAUCCAAGGUUUGAGGACAGAUUCCAGGGUCUGAAUCUUCAUGGAGAGGAAGAGGACGAUUUGGAUUUGUCAGGUGAGAUCGAUGAAUUGAUUGAAGAGACGAGAUGGAUUGCUAUUUUUAGGGUUCAUACACAGCGACCCUUUAGCCAUGUUGCUCUGUACAAAGCGAUGAGGAACGCUUGGACACCAGCACAGGGAGUGAUCUUCAAGGCGAUGAAACCAAAUCUGUUCCUGGGUCAGUUUAUGUGUCUUGGCGAUUGGAAUCGCGUGAUGAACGGAGGGCCCUGGUUAUUUCGGAACGCAGCAAGUCCUAUGGAGGAGUACGAUGGUCUGACAAAUGUGGAUGAGUACAAGCUUGAUCGCAUCCCAGCGUGGGCACGUAUCAUAGGCAUCCCUGAGGGGCUCAUGAAGAAAAAGGAGAUUGCAGAGAAAAUAGCAAGAAAAGUUGGAAUAUCUCCUGUGAAGGUCAUUGUCAAUGAAGGUCGAAUAAAUCCUACAAAGUUCUUGAGAGCUCGUGUUCACCUAAAGCUUGAUGCCCCACUUGUGCGUUUUGUGCCUUUAACCCUGAAGGAGAGCAAGAGGUGCCCUGUGGACUAUGAAAAACUUCCAGAUUUCUGUGAUUUCUGUGGUCUGAUGGGGCAUGUGGUAACUGAGUGCGGGGAUGGAAUACACUGA
rnacentral:rRNA from 1 species